AAACGGCCCGAUCGAAGCUGAACAAAGGUGAAAUGUUUUGUAUCAGUCAAAACGUGGCCAAGAGCGAGUUUGUCAUUAGGUCGUACGGUACGUCUGUGCGAAUCGUGCAUUACCCAUGGCAAAAACAUUC